rnacentral:rRNA from 1 species
UAACACAUGCAAGUCGAACGCAGUAGCAAUACUGAGUGGCAGACGGGUGAGUAACAUGUGGGAAUCUGCCUUGUGGUUCAGGACAACAUUGGGAAACCGAUGCUAAUACUGGAUAAGCCCUUACGGGGAAAGUUUUAAUGCCAUAAGAUGAGCCCGCAUUUGAUUAGUUAGUUGGUGAGGUAAUGGCUCACCAAGACAAUGAUCAAUAGCUGAUCUGAGAGGAUGAUCAGCCACACUGGGACUGAGACACGGCCCAGACUCCUACGGGAGGCAGCAGUGGGGAAUCUUGCACAAUGGAGGAAACUCUGAUGCAGCGAUGCCGCGUGAGUGAAGAAGGCCUUUGGGUUGUAAAGCUCUUUUGUAGGGGAAGAUAAUGACUGUACCCUAAGAAUAAGGUCCGGCUAACUUCGUGCCAGCAGCCGCGGUAAUACGAAGGGACCUAGCGUAGUUCGGAAUUACUGGGCGUAAAGCGCGCGUAGGCCGUUGAGUUAGUUAAUUGUGAAAUCCCAAAGCUUAACUUUGGAACUGCAAUUAAAACUGCUCGACUAGAGUUUGAUAGAGGAAAGCGGAAUACAUAGUGUAGAGGUGAAAUUCGUAGAUAUUAUGUAGAACACCAGUUGCGAAGGCGGCUUUCUGGAUCAACACUGACGCUGAGGCGCGAAAGUAUGGGUAGCAAAGAGGAUUAGAUACUCCUCGUAGUCUAUACCAUAAACGAUGAUUGCUAGAUGUUGGAAAUUUAUUUUCAGUAUCGCAGCUAACGCAUUAAGCAAU